rnacentral:lncRNA from 1 species
GACAAGUCUAACUCGGUUGUUUGCUGAUGAUACAUCUCUUUCUUACUCCAGCAAUAACCCUUACACUAUAGAGGAUGUCUUAAAUAGCGAUUUAGAACAAAUUUCAGUAUGGUCUAAAGAUUGGCUUAUUAAUUUUAACCCUAAUAAGACAAAGGCUAUGAUAUUCUCCUGCCAUACUUCCCCAGAUGAUAUUGAAAUAGAAUUUCAAAACCAAUCAGUAGAAUUUGUCUCCUGUCAUAAACACUUAGAAAUUACUUUGUAUUCCAAUGGUAAAUUCCAUACACAUAUAGAAAACAUUUUAAAGUGUGCAAGCACAAGAUUAAAUGUUCUUAAAAAAUUGAAAUAUGUAUUGAAUAGAAAUUAUCUUGCUCGUAUAUAUUUAACUUUUAUAAGACCCGUUAUGGAAUAUGCAUGUGAGUUAUGGGAUUGUUGUACUGAACAAGAAACCGACAAUUUAGAACAUGUUCAGUUAGAAGCAGGGAGGUUAGUAACUGGGUUGCCCGUGUUUGCUAGUCGGGAAGCUAUAUAUUUUGAAACUGGCUGGCAAUUGCUUGUGGAGAAAGCUCAAUAUGUUCUAUUCUUUACAUAAUGGAACUGCCCCUGAUUAUCUCUGUGAUUUAAUGCCCCCGCUUGUUGGUCAAGUAUCUAACUACGAUUUGCGAAACAGUAAUAAUUAUGUAGUACCCGGUUAUAGACUAGACAUAACUAGAAAAUCCUUUUUCCCAUCCACUACUAUUGAAUGGAAUAGCCUCAACCCCGACAUACGUACGUCCAAAAAUAUAAAUAUUUUUAAACGAAAGAUGAAGUCCAAAUUGAUACAGCCACCUUCCUAUUUUAGUUGUUGGGAUAGAAAACUUAAUAUCAUUCAUACACGUUUGAGAAAUAUGUGCAGUUCUUUAAAUUCAGAUUUAAAUCGUGUUAAUAUUAAACCCAGUCCCGCAUGCAGCUGUGGCCACCCUGUUGAGGAUGGUAUACACUAUUUUUAGAGUGCACUUUUCACCACGAAGCAAGAGAAAUACUGUUUUCAAAAUUACAAAGAUAUGCUAUAUCCAUUGAGCUUCUAUUAGCUGGUGACGGUGACCAUUUUUUCAACAAAACAAAGACAUUUUUGAGUCCGUACAAUCUUAUAUCAGAAUAACACAAAUAUUUAAAACAAUCAAUUAACAUUCUAAAUUUCUACUUUACAACCUUUCACUCCGGUCCAGU